rnacentral:misc_RNA from 1 species
AAACACUUCCGUCAUAUUCGGAUGAGUUCCGAGUACAUCCGAAGUCAAAAUACCCCAAAAGAGGGCGCUGCUCUGUGAAGCCAUCGGUUGUUUUGUACAGAAAUUAUAUAAUCAUGUCGAGGAAAGUGUCGACAAAGGUUUUUAUUGGCAACAUGCCCGACACAUGUCGAAAGACAGACUUAGAGGAGAUGUUUUCUAAAUAUGGAGAAAUCGUCGAGUGUGACAUUGUCAAAAAUUUUGGCUUUGUGCAUUUUGCUGAUCCAACAUGUGCUAAAACAGCUGUCGACAAUUUGAAUGGCAUUCAGUUUCAAGGAACUGAUCUAAAGGUUGAGUUAUCUCAUAGCCGAGUAAGACAAAAACCUGGCAUGGGAGGACAGGGAGACUGUUAUAAAUGUGGCAAGAGUGGCCACUGGUCAAAGGAUUGUCCAUCUGGACCAACAAGACCCAGAUACCCUCCAAGGGAAAGUCCGUAUGCGCGACCUCGAGAUCCGUACGAUGACCCUUACUACAGAGACCGAUAUUUGCCACCGCCACCUCCGAUGGACCGAUACCGACCCUACCCAGACAUCUACGAUCGCAGGCCACCUCCUCCACCCAGAGAUCCGUAUUACAGAGACCGAGAUCCGUACACAAGACCUCCACCGGAUUAUUACAGGAGAUCACCACCUAGAGAUCCUUACUAUGAUGAUUACUACAGGAGACGAUUUGGGUAGUUCCUCACUGCUGAUGAAUGAGAGUCGAACUACCACAGUUCCUGGGAGUAGUAAAGCCACAGACGUGAAGACAUUUGCCGAGAGUCCUUGUUAAUGGGACUCCAUGCUGGUUACCUUCUAUGUACUGCAUCCAUUAUUCUCCAUUGAGACACUAGUACCUUACAUCUGCCAUUUCCUGGAAGACGUGUGUUCCUGAUUUUAAUGGUGCAACCUGCCUCCUGAGGAUUGAGUCUGGUACAUUGCCACCAUUCCACAGGCUUUCGUUCAUGAGACUGUGCAGUGCUGAAUUUUUAUAGCAAUGAAUGUCAUCUUCUUGUGUUAAUAAAUUUUCCACAUUAA